AGAUAUCGAUUGGCUUCCAACGCUUCCCCGCCCACAGAACUCGCCACAACUCAAAAGUGGGCGGGGCAUCGGGAGAACGUGGAACGGACAUUGGCGGGAAACCCUGGCCAGAAAUGCCUGUGGCGGCUAAGAGCUGCCUGGCAGUCACCGCCAAGUUAACGCUUACAUUCUCGUGAUUUACCUGUGAGUUGCUGAUACUCUCCAGUCUCACUGGCCCUGCCAGAUGCACCUGAAAUCGCUCCAGAUGACAGCUUCGACUCGGAGUGAUCAAAUAUGCAGCUAAACCUCUCAUAAAGCAUCCACAAAAAUUCGGGGUGUUGUGUGACUGUGAGAAGAACAAGACUACCACAAGAAAGGCCACAAAAUAACAGUCUGAUGACUCCAAUAUUCCUUUACCAUCCUUGGAACUCAAGAAUCUGGAAUCAAAAACUACAUAAGGCCCAUCCUGGCUCCUGG